rnacentral:rRNA from 1 species
GUUAAGUCAGAUGUGAAAGACCCGGGGCGUUAACCUCGGAAUUGCAUUUGAAACUAGGCAGGCUAGAGUCUUGUAGAGGGGGGUAGGGAAGUUUCAGGUGUAGCGGUGAAAUAGCGUAGAGAUCUGAAGGAAUACCAGUGGCGAAGGCGGCCCCCUCGGACAAAGACUGACGCUCAGAUGCGAAAGCGUGGGGAGCAAACAGGAUUAGAUACCCUGGUAG